GGAUGAUUUGGUAGUUUGCUCAUGGUUAAUUGCGUAAUUGUGUUGACUUCGGAGUUUAGAGUGAUUUGGUAGCUAGCUUAUUUAGUUAGGUUUGGUUCACUGUUGGACUAUGUUUCUGCUGGUGAUUUUGAGGUAAUUGUUGAGGUUAAUAUUUUGUUGAUAUGUUUGAUUUGCGUUUAUUAAUAGUGAUGCUUGAUUUAUAGGUCUGAGAUGG
rnacentral:misc_RNA from 1 species